rnacentral:piRNA from 1 species
AGCCUAAUUAAAGUCAACCUCUUCUG